ACGAACGCUGGCGGCGUGCUUCACCCAUGCCAGUCGCACGCUGAAGCUUGGUGCUUGCCCUGGGUGGAUGAGUGGCGAACGGGUGAGUAAUACGUGAGUAACCUGCCCUUGACUCUGGGAUAAGCCUGGGAAACUGGGUCUAAUACUGGAUAUGACAUGCCACUGCAUGGUGGUGUGUGGAAAGGGUUUUACUGGUUUUGGAUGGGCUCACGGCCUAUCAGCUUGUUGGUGGGGUAAUGGCCUACCAAGGCGACGACGGGUAGCCGGCCUGAGAGGGUGACCGGCCACACUGGGACUGAGACACGGCCCAGACUCCUACGGGAGGCAGCAGUGGGGAAUAUUGCACAAUGGGCGGAAGCCUGAUGCAGCGACGCCGCGUGAGGGAUGACGGCCUUCGGGUUGUAAACCUCUUUCAGCACGGAAGAAGCGAGAGUGACGGUACGUGCAGAAGAAGCGCCGGCCAACUACGUG
rnacentral:rRNA from 1 species